rnacentral:rRNA from 1 species
UGGGGAGUACGGCCGCAAGGUUAAAACUCAAAGGAAUAGACGGGGACCUACACAAGCGGUGGAGCGUGUGGUUUAAUUCGACAAUAAGCGAGGAACCUUACCAAGACUUGACAUCUUCCGGAUCCACUCGAAAGAGAGGAGUGCCGUAAGGAACGGAAUGACAGGUGCUGCAUGGUUGUCGUCAGCUCGUGCCUUGAGGUGUUCGGUUAAGUCCGUAAACGAGCGCAACCCUCGUCCUUAGUUGUAUUUUUCUAAGGAGACUGCCUGGCAUAACCAGGAGGAAGGUGAGGAUGACGUCAAAUCAGCAUGGCCCUUAUGUCUUGGGCGACACACGCGCUACAAUGGCCGGUACAAUGGGCAGCCAAGGGGUAACCUGGAGCGAAUCCCCCAAAACCGGUCUCAGUUCGGAUUGAGGGCUGCAACUCGCCCUCAUGAAGUUGGAAUCGCUAGUAAACGUGAAUCAGCCAUGUCGCGUUGAAUAUGUUCCUAGGUCUUGUACUCACCGCCCGUCAAGUGAUGAAAGGAAAGGGCGCCCGAAGUCCCUGCUAGGCAGGGCCUAAGGUGAAAUUUCUAAUUGGCACUAAGUCGUAACAAGGUA